rnacentral:rRNA from 1 species
GGGAACUGAAAGGACGACCUUCGGGAGCCUAUACAGGUGUUGCAUGGCUGUCGUCAGCUCGUGUCGUGAGAUGUUCGGUUAAGUCCGCUAACGAGCGCAACCCUCGUCGUAUGUUAUAUGUGUCAUACGAGACUGCCGGUAAAAAGCCGGAGGAAGGUGAGGAUGAUGUCAAGUCAGCAUGACCUUUAUAUCCAGGGCUACACACACGCUACAAUGGUCUGUACAAUGGGUAGCCAAGCCGCGAGGCGGAGCCAAUCCUGAAAGCAAGCCUCAGUUCAGAUUGCAGUCUGCAACUCGACUGCAUGAAGCCGGAGUUGCUAGUAACCGCAGGUCAGCAAUACUGCGGUGAAUACGUUCCCGGGUCUU